rnacentral:rRNA from 1 species
GAUGAACGCUGGCGGCGUGCCUAAUACAUGCAAGUCGAGCGAACAGACGAGGAGCUUGCUCCUCUGACGUUAGCGGCGGACGGGUGAGUAACACGUGGAUAACCUACCUAUAAGACUGGGAUAACUUCGGGAAACCGGAGCUAAUACCGGAUAAUAUAGUGAACCGCAUGGUUCAAUAGUGAAAUACGGUUUUGCUGUCACUUAUAGAUGGAUCCGCGCCGCAUUAGCUAGUUGGUAAGGUAACGGCUUACCAAGGCAACGAUGCGUAGCCGAACUGAGAGGGUGAUAGGCCACCCUGGAACUUAGACACGGUCCAGGCUCCUACGGGAGGCCGCAGUAGGGAAUGUUCCGCAAUGGGCGAAAGCCUGACGGAGCAACGCCGCGUGAGUGAUGAAGGUCUUCGGAUCGUAAAACUCUGUUACUAGGUAAGAACAAAUGUGUAAGUAAAUAUGCACGUAUUGACGGUACCUAAUCAGAAAGCCACGGCUAACUACGUG